rnacentral:rRNA from 1 species
UACGAGUGCCCCAAGCGUUAUCCGGAAUCAUUGGGCGUAAAGGGUGUGUAGGCGGUAGUGUUAGUCUCAUGUCAAAUUCUUCGGCUUAACCGGGGUACCGCAUGGGAUACGGCACAACUAGAGGAUGCGAGGGGUCUGUAGAACUCAUGGAGUAGGGGUGAAAUCCGUUGAUAUCAUGGGGAAUACCGAAAGCGAAGGCAGCAGGCUGGCGCACUCCUGACACUGAAACACGAAAGCGUGGGUAGCGAAUGGG